rnacentral:rRNA from 1 species
AACAUUGGACAAUGGUGGCAACCCUGAUCCAGCCAUGCCGCUUGUGUGAAGAAGGACUUCGGAUUGUAAAGCACUUUAAGUUAGGAGAAGAGGCUUUAGGUUACUACUCUGAAGUUUUCACGUUACCAACAGAAUAUGCACAGGAAAACUCUGUGCCAGAAGCCGCGAUAAUACAGAGGGUGCAAGCGUUAAUCGAAUUUACUGGGCGUAAAGCGCGGUUAGGUGGUUCAGUAAGAUGGGUGGGAAAUCCCCGGGCUUAACCUGGGAACUGCUGUCAUAACUGCUGAGCUAGAGUACGGUAGAGGGUAGUGGAAUUUCCUGUGUAGCGGUGAAAUGCGUAGAUAUAGGAAGGAACACCAGUGGCGAAGGCGACUACCUGGACUAAUACUGACACUGAGGUGCGAAAGCGUGGGGAGCAAAC